UUUUUCUAUUCGGACGGUAACCAAAAUGGGUUAUCGAGGACGCAAGAAGGUUUUGAAGCGCUUGACUGCGCCCAAAUCAUGGAUGCUGGACAAACUCGGAGGUGUCUUUGCCCCCCGACCCAGCACUGGACCCCACAAGCUGAGGGAAUCACUCCCCCUCAUUGUGUUCUUGAGGAACCGUCUAAAGUAUGCCUUGACAUAUGAUGAGGUUAAGAAGAUCACCAUGCAGAGAUUGAUCAAAGUCGACGCCAAAGUCAGAACUGACAAGAACUUCCCCACUGGAUUCAUGGAUGUUAUUUCCAUUGAGAAGACCAAUGAAAAUUUCCGUCUUCUCUAUGAUGUCAAAGGACGCUUCACUGUUCACCGUAUCCAGAAAGAAGAGGCCAAGUACAAGCUGUGUCGUGUUCGUAAAGUUGGUGUAGCCGCCAAGGGCGUUCCCUACAUCACCACACACGAUGGCCGCACCAUCCGUUACCCUGACCCUCUCGUCAAGGUCAACGACACGGUCAUGCUUGACAUUGGCACAGGAAAAAUCAAGGACUUCAUCAAGUUUGAUUCUGAACUAUCUGUCCCUUGCAGGAAAUCUGUGCAUGGUGACUGGAGGCCAUAACUUGGGGCGAGUGGGUGUGAUUCAGCACCGAGAGAGACAUCCAGGGUCAUUCGACAUUGUACACAUCAAGGACUCUGUGGGCCACACAUACGCCACCAGAUUGAGCUAUGUGUUUGUGAUUGGAAAGGGAAACAAGCCUUGGAUUUCACUUCCAAAAGGAAAAGGUGUCAAACUGUCUAUUGCAGAGGAAAGAGACAGGCGUCUUGCUGCAAAAACUUCAUAAAUUAUGGACAGUUAACAAUAAAAGAAAUAACACACU
rnacentral:misc_RNA from 1 species